rnacentral:rRNA from 1 species
UACGGAGGGAGCUAGCGUUGUUCGGAAUUACUGGGCGUAAAGCGCACGUAGGCGGCUUUGUAAGUUAGAGGUGAAAGCCUGGAGCUCAACUCCAGAAUUGCCUUUAAGACUGCAUCGCUUGAAUCAUGGAGAGGCGGGUGGAAUUCCGAGUGUAGAGGUGAAAUUCGUAGAUAUUCGGAAGAACACCAGUGGCGAAGGCGGCCCGCUGGACAUGUAUUGACGCUGAGG